rnacentral:rRNA from 1 species
UACGUAGGGCGCAAGCGUUGUCCGGAAUUAUUGGGCGUAAAGAGCUCGUAGGCGGUUUGUCGCGUCUGCCGUGAAAGUCCGGGGCUCAACUCCGGAUCUGCGGUGGGUACGGGCAGACUAGAGUGAUGUAGGGGGAGACUGGAAUUCCUGGUGUAGCGGUGAAAUGCGCAGAUAUCAGGAGGAACACCGAUGGCGAAGGCAGGUCUCUGGGCCGUAACUGACGCUGAGGAGCGAAAGCAUGGGGGAGCGAACAGG